GAUGUUUUAUUAUCCCUUGAAAUAAAAAAAAUACAUAUACAUGUAUAAUCACAGCAAUUGUGUCUAGUAUUGAAUUCAUAUGAAAAAUUCACCAACUAUACUAUUGUUCUUUAUUUAUUCUGGAACUGCAUAUCCUGGUGCAGCUAAAGCUCCCUCUUUAUGAUAUAAAACUGCAGGCCAGACCGUAAGCCUAAACUUUGUUCCUUUCUUUCCUGAAAAGCGGAACAUUUCCUUAUUGAAUUUAUCACCACGUUUUCCCCAGACAAUUUCCAUUGGUGGUUGUUGAAUA